AUAAAAAAGCACAUGUUUUAAUCUGCAGUUCACUCAGCUACCAACAUACAUCAUCAUCAUCUAUCAACCACAUCGCCACCAGACAUUAGCUUCAUCCUCACAAAUCCACAGCAUGCUCUACGACAUGGGCAGAGCUUUCACUCAUUCCCAGCAAGAAAUAAAUUAACAUGUUGAAUACAAAACCUUACUAUGUUGAGAGGCAGCUUGGAGCUAAUGGUGAAACAAUGUAACACUCAGAGAGCAUUGAUGCACAUACAAUAGAUGGAGACACAAAAUAUUGUCCUAACCAUUCAUUCAUCGACACAACUUAGAUGCUUUUAAAAUGUUGUGGUGGGCUAGAUUUGGCCUCAGAAAUUUCACUAAACAAAAGAAGAAAAUGGACAAAAUUGAAACAAGCAUUCAGCUUUGAAAAUAACUAACAGAUAACAUUAAGAACUCAACCUAAAUAGGAAAAGACAUCUAUGAUGAAGUCAGGCCAGUUUCUGUAACAAACUCUCUACUAUGACAGUUCUAUUGGAAUGAUUGUCAUCCUCUAUUAAAAUUAAAAAAAAACACCCAGGGUUCACCCACGAGUUGAGGACACACUUUAAGACCAAGUGUCAGCCCCAAAGUACAUAAGCUGAUAUCAGGUCAUACCAAGUACUCAUUCAGUCUUGAAAUGUGCUUUGCAUUUUGAUAAUUUGGAAAAAAAAUCUUUAAAAAUUUGAUGAAAUAACUUAAAAUUGAAUAUCAUUCUAAAGGUUGAUUCAAAUUGUAAUUAGCAAUACUUUAGUCAUAACUUUCAAUUAAAGUUGUAUUCAUACAUCAGAACAGUUCUUUUAGAACACACUAAGACAGUAUAUAUAAAUAGCAUCAUUUUAAAAGAAUAAUGCAA